rnacentral:rRNA from 1 species
GAACGAGAGAAAGCUUGCUUUCUCGUCGUCGAGCGGCGGACGGGUGAGUAAAGCCUGGGAAAUUGCCCUGAUGUGGGGGAUAACCAUUGGAAACGAUGGCUAAUACCGCAUGAUGUCUACGGCCAAAGAGGGGGACCUUCGGGCCUCUCGCGUCAGGAUAUGCCCAGGUGGGAUUAGCUAGUUGGUGGGGUAAUGGCUCACCAAGGCGACGAUCCCUAGCUGGUCUGAGAGGAUGAUCAGCCACACUGGAACUGAGACACGGUCCAGACUCCUACGGGAGGCAGCAGUGGCGAAUAUUGCACAAUGGGCGCAAGCCUGAUGCAGCCAUGCCGCGUGUAUGAAGAAGGCCUUCGGGUUGUAAAGUACUUUCAGCAGUGAGGAAGGAUGUAGUAUUAACAGAGCUGCAUUUUGACGUUAGCUGCAGAAGAAGCACCGGCUAACUCCGUGCCAGCAGCCGCGGUAAUACGGAGGGUGCGAGCGUUAAUCGGAAUUACUGGGCGUAAAGCGCAUGCAGGUGGUCUGUUAAGUCAGAUGUGAAAGCCCGGGGCUUAACCCCGGAGUUGCAUUUGAAACUGGCAGGCUAGAGUACUGUAGAGGGGGGUAGAAUUUCAGGUGUAGCGGUGAA